rnacentral:rRNA from 1 species
UACGUAUGGUGCAAGCGUUAUCCGGAUUUACUGGGUGUAAAGGGAGCGUAGACGGAGUGGCAAGUCUGAUGUGAAAACCCGGGGCUCAACCCCGGGACUGCAUUGGAAACUGUCAAUCUAGAGUACCGGAGAGGUAAGCGGAAUUCCUAGUGUAGCGGUGAAAUGCGUAGAUAUUAGGAGGAACACCAGUGGCGAAGGCGGCUUUCUGGACGGUAACUGACGUUGAGGCUCGAAAGCGUGGGGAGCAAACAGG